UCCUACGGGGGGCAGCAGUGGGGAAUAUUGCACAAUGGGGGAAACCCUGAUGCAGCAACGCCGCGUGGGUGAGGGAGCGUUUCGGCGCGUAAAGCCCUGUCAGCGGGGAAGAAGAAAGACGGUACCCGACCAAGAAGCCCCGGCUAACUACGUGCCAGCAGCCGCGGUAAUACGUAGGGAGCAAGCGUUGUUCGGAAUGACUGGGCGUAAAGGGUGCGUAGGCGGUUGUACAAGUUAGAAGUGAAAUACCCAGGGCUUAACUCGGGUGCUGCUUCUAAAACUGUAUGACUUG
rnacentral:rRNA from 1 species